CGUUGGUCUGGUGCCAACUACGGAAGCUCUUGUUCAUCAACCUAUUAUAGAAGAUCACCACUUCCAUGUGCACUUACCUAUACUGUAUGUACCAAAAAUGGAAGUAAUGGUUGGGGUGUAGGGUCAGAUUCUAGAAGAUGGCAGUUCUAGAACAUUUUAAAUUUCAUUGGGCAUGUAUAGAGGCUUUACAUGCAAAUCUGAG